rnacentral:lncRNA from 10 species
CUUCACUCCGCAAAACAAGAAACAACAACAUGGGACUUUUCUAGUACAUUCCUUGGGAAACUUGGUAUGUCCUGCUUGAAAGAAAAGCCCAAAUAAGACUGCCAAGAUCAUCCAGAGGAAAGGCCAUGUGACCACACACCAAGAAGCUAGCUGUCUGCCAGCCAGGAAGAGAGCCCUGACCAGUAAUCAAAUUGGCUGAAGACUUGAUCUUGGACUCCUUGUCUCCAGAAAUGGGCUGCUGUAGUAUCCUAGGGGUCUACUCCAGUCCCUGGUUACCUCGAAUUUUCCAGUCCCUGGAUGUCUCACCAGUGAAGGUUGUGAAACAGCAAAAAUGGCAGCCUGCACCCUCCUCUGGGAGCUCCAUCCCAAGAAGAUGUUGGCACUUCUUAGGAAGGAGCCAUCCAUGUCUGAAGAGAAGAAAUGAUAAUUAACUUCAUCAUGUGGAAAGCUUUAGAAGGAAGUAUCUUGUCCUUCUGUCCAAACCCGCCUCCUCCUUACCACCCCCAAUAAAAAUAAAAGCCAAACAAAUAAAACAUUAGCAGUAGCUCUGAGUUUCUUCCUUUCACUUUUUCUCUCUCUUCAUGCCUUUUCUCCUCCAUUCCUUCCUUCUUUCAAAUCAUUUUUACUAGUUUAAGAGAAUAAUUCAAUCUAUAUUUAGAAAUCAGACUUAAAACUUCAAAAAUUAUACUGAAAUAGCUUCCCCUUAAAGGGUGAAACAGUCAUGAUAAAAAUAACAACCGAUAGAAUAAAAUAAUAUAAAAUUAGCUGAGUUUAUAGUUUCUUUUACACCUCCAUAAUUUAUGUGGAUUUGGAAAUACAGACAGUAUACUGAAAACUAAGAAGUUUUCUAUGAAUUAUGAGAAUUUGCAAUCCACAUAGGCUUAAGUCUAAUGUUAGAAGAUAAAACAAAUUGACCUUAAAUAACUUUCUGACAUAACCUCCCCAUUUCAUGGAUGAAAAACCCUAAAGCUCUCAUAAGUAAAGUGAUUUACUUCAGGACACAAACUAGUUGAUUUAGUUUGGAUGUUUGUCCCCUCCAAAUCUCAUGUUGAAAUGGAAUCCCCAGUGUUGGAGGUGGGGCCUGGUGGGAGGUGUUUGUGUCAUGGGGCAGAUCCAUUAUCCUUAUGAGCUGCUUGGUGCUAUCCUUGUGAUAGUGAGUGAGUUCUCAUGAAAUCUGGUUGUUUAAAAAUUUGUGGCACCUCCCCACCAGCCUUGCUCCUGCUCUUGCGGUGUGAUAUGCCUGCUGCCUCUUCACCUUACACCGUGAUUAUAAGCUUCCUGAGGCCUCACCAGAAGCAGUUCUUCUAUCAGGAUUUUAAGAGGGCAGGCAGAACUUUAAAGCAAAGGAAAUUGCUUGUUUUUGUGAAAUUAACCAGUCUGUUAUCAAGGCGGAGGACAAGAUACGAAUGCUAAUCAUUGUGAAGAAACUCAUUACGGAAUUUUCUCCAAUACAUAGGCAAAAGAAGUGGCUGUUAUCAUUUUGCACUAUAACCAGACAUAUAAUGCUGUUGCUCCACAUCCACGUCAGAGAUCCUUGAGGAAUCACCACACUGUCUUCCACAAUGGGUGGUACAUCCAGAAAACAGAAUAUUACUUAGUGCUAAAAAGAAAUGUGCUAUCAAGCCAUGAAAAUAUACAUGGAAAGCGCAACACGGCUGAAUAGAAACAGCUCCGUUCUGCAGCUCCCAGUUGAUCAAUGCAGAAGUUCGUAGGUCUUGAGAUCAAGAGCAACCCCAUGUGGAUCCAUGGUAGAUCACAAGAUCUGGAAGUUUGUGCCUAAUGUUGUUAUCAGAUGAGCCUUUUGGGGAUGUCCUGAAGGGUUCCUUGAGGUGUGACCUUAGAUUGUCUAUUUGUAUUCUUCAUCCAAAUACAAGAAGCACCAAGAACACCUGGGAAAUUCACCGCAAAAACAUCUUUGCAUGGGCACAUUGUCAUCAGGUUAUCCAAAGUUAAGACAGGGAAAGAAUCUUAAGAGCUGUGAGACAGAAGUACCAGGUAACCUCUAAAGGAAAACCUAAGGUCAGUUUUUUUUAAGAAAAGUAACUUUAUUGUGGUAUAAAGACUACAAAAUCAAGGUGUCAAAAAUUAAAUUAGAUGCAAGGUAUAAAAAAUUGCUGUUCUGUAGGUCCAAAUGAACUUUAUGAAAUUCCCAUCUUUUAAAAUCAUAAAUGGCUGAAAUUUGUCAAUUUUGUAUGGAACUCACUAUUAUAUAUGGGAAUAUAAUCAGUGACUUAUACUCAGAGGAAAUCCUUUGACACUGUAUCAAAGAUCUGGUCAUGAAAUGCAUAUUUA